rnacentral:ncRNA from 1 species
GCAAAGAUAAAAACGCAAUGUACAAAUUGUACUAGAGCUGGUAGGUAGCCCAGCCGUCUAUUUUAAUAGGUAAGUAACCUGCCCCCUCCGGGUUGUCCAUUCUUUGUUUAUUUA